rnacentral:rRNA from 1 species
GAUGAACGCUGGCGGCGUGCCUAAUACAUGCAAGUCGAGCGAACAGACGAGGAGCUUGCUCCUCUGACGUUAGCGGCGGACGGGUGAGUAACACGUGGAUAACCUACCUAUAAGACUGGGAUAACUUCGGGAAACCGGAGCUAAUACCGGAUAAUAUAUUGAACCGCAUGGUUCAAUAGUGAAAGACGGUUUUGCUGUCACUUAUAGAUGGAUCCGCGCCGCAUUAGCUAGUUGGUAAGGUAACGGCUUACCAAGGCAACGAUGCGUAGCCGACCUGAGAGGGUGAUCGGCCACACUGGAACUGAGACACGGUCCAGACUCCUACGGGAGGCAGCAGUGGGGAAUCUUGCGCAAUGGGCGAAAGCUAGACGGAGCAACGCCGCGUGAGUGAUGAAGGUCUUCGGAUCGUAAAGCUCUGUUAUUAGGGAAGAACAAAUGUGUAAGUAACUCUGCACGUCUUGACGGUACCUAAUCAGAAAGCCCCGGCUAACUACGUG